rnacentral:lncRNA from 1 species
UGGUAUUUGGUAUGCUUGUGGCUUAAGAUGAUAUAUGGAUGUAGGACUUGCAUUUCAAGGUAUUAUUUGACACACAAUUGGCACUUGAUUGAAAUCUUCUUUCACCAUUGUUGAAUCCAAGAUGUACGCCAAAUAAGUGUAUUCAACUUUCACUAUCAUCUUCUGAGAUGAAACAGUCGAGAUUAUAUUGUUUCUAAUAUCGCACUUCAUUCUUAAAAUAAACAUUUUUCCCACCUACAAUUAAAAGCCUAACACCUCUGUAUUUACAUUCAACAAC